UAAAAAAAAAAUGUUUUGUAAUGUCAUCAUCAUCAUCAUAAUUAUGUGACACCAUCACAUUAGUUGGUUAUUCGUUCGAAUAUGAAUAACACACCCGUGCUCACCUACACACACACACACACACACCUGGUAGCUGAAAUUAUUUUCUUCAUAUGAAAAAAAAAAUCUGGUUCCACCACCAUAAACAGUUGUGAAUUAUUUUAUUUUUGUUAAAAAAAAGGUCGUCGGUCACUCACACCAUAUGAAGAACAUACUCACAUAUCGAGUUGUUUCGACAGCUAAAUAAUAACUAGCCAAGCACAAAGGUUACAGCCAGUUAUAUACACUCAAUCAUCCGAUCAUAUCAAUUCAACAACAACAACAACAAAAAACAACGAUAAACAUAACAGAAUUUUUU